GAUGAACGCUGGCGGCGUGCCUAAUACAUGCAAGUCGAGCGAACAGACGAGGAGCUUGCUCCUCUGACGUUAGCGGCGGACGGGUGAGUAACACGUGGAUAACCUACCUAUAAGACUGGGAUAACUUCGGGAAACCGGAGCUAAUACCGGAUAAUAUAUUGAACCGCAUGGUUCAAUAGUGAAAGACGGUUUUGCUGUCACUUAUAGAUGGAUCCGCGCCGCAUUAGCUAGUUGGUAAGGUAACGGCCCACCAAGGCGACGAUCCGUAGCUGACCUGAGAGGAUGAUCAGCGACACUGGAACUGAGACACGGUCCAGACUCCUAAGGGAGGCAGCAGUGGGGAAUAUUGGACAAUGGGCGCAAGCCUGAUACAGACAUACAGCGUGAGUGAAGAAGGCCUUCGGGUUGUAAAACCCUUUUGUUGGGAAAGAAAAGCAACAGGUUAAUACCCCGCUGUUCGAACGGUACCCAAAUAAUAAGCACCGGCUAACUUCGUG
rnacentral:rRNA from 1 species